rnacentral:misc_RNA from 1 species
CCGAGUUUACAACUCCCAAACCCAAUGUGAACAUACCUUUUUGUUGCUUCGGCGGGAUCGUCCCGGUGCCUCGUCGCCCGGAAUCAGGCGCCCGCCGAAGGUCUCAAACUCUUUGUUUUAGCCAUGUGGUUCUUUCUGAGUGGCGUAAGCAAAAUAAAUUA